GAUGAAGAACGUAGCGAAAUGCGAUAAGUAAUGCGAAUUGCAGAAUUUCCGUGAAUCAUCGAAUCUUUGAACGCACAUUGCGCCCGCCAGCAUUCUGGCGGGCAUGCCUGUUCGAGCGUCAUUUCAACCCUCGACCUCCCUUUGGGGAAGUCGGCGUUGGGGACCGGCAGCACACCGCCGGCCCUGAAAUGGAGUGGCGGCCCGUCCGCGGCGACCUCUGCGUAGUAAACCAACUCGCACCGGAACCCCGACGUGGCCACGCCGUAAAACACCCAACUUCUGAACGUUGACCUCGAAUCAGGUAGGACUACCCGCUGAACUUAAGCAUAUCAAUAAGCGGAGGA
rnacentral:misc_RNA from 1 species